rnacentral:piRNA from 1 species
UGACUGACCAGCGCUCUUUCCUACUG